rnacentral:rRNA from 1 species
UACGUAGGGGGCGAGCGUUGUCCGGAUUUAUUGGGCGUAAAGAGCUCGUAGGGGGCUUGGCAAGUCGGGUGUGAAACCUCCAGGCUCAACCUGGAGACGCCACUCGAUACUGCCAUGGCUGGAGUCCGGUAGGGGACCACGGAAUUCCUGGUGUAGCGGUGAAAUGCGCAGAUAUCAGGAGGAACACCGGUGGCGAAGGCGGUGGUCUGGGCCGGCACUGACGCUGAGGAGCGAAAGCGUGGGUAGCAAACAG